CUUGAGCGAGCCCAGCCACAGCGGUCCGGCGGCACGGCCCUGCCCGUAGGUGGCGAGCAGCGCCUCCGCCUC
rnacentral:antisense_RNA from 1 species